UAUCAUCAUUUAGUACUACUCUGCAUAUGGUUUCAUAUAUUUUGGUCUCACGGACAUUAGCACAAGCACCUGAUGUUCUAGUGCAAGAAAUGACCAAUUGAAAAUCAAUGAUUUUUUCUAGUAGAUAGCAACACUACAAAAGAACGUGGACGAAUGUUCAUUAGCAUCAAUUGUAAAAAUGGGAUGCCAAAAACACACACGGACGUUCGGUUGCACUAUCUGCAGCCGUCCAAGUACAGGCACAACGGCAGCUGUCAAGCAGACCAAGUGCAGUAGCAGCUCCCUUCCCAUAUCCAGUCGCCAGCUCCAUGCCUCCAUCUUGUCCGUCCCUCACAACACUGAUUGCAGCAGGGAGAGGAAACAACAAGUGCUGGUGUAGCUUGGCAGGAUAGAGAGAUGGCGACCCACACAGUGAGCACACACAUCGAACUGAAAGAGGUCGCCUAGAACGUACUUCACAGUGAGCAUGCACACCCACACAUCCAUGUCCAGCUUGGCUUGGCCGGCAAGAGCGACAGAGGAGAGGAGCCGCUGUAGAGCCCAGAUGACCUCGUCGACUCCCUUAGAAGCCGGAGACUCGCUGUAGUGGUGCUGUGACUUGUGCUCAUACGAAGUUUCCUUCCAGGCAUGUAUCGGUGGAACUGCUGCCAAUUUUUUCUAUUGAACUGAUACAGACAAAUUGCCUCAAAUAUUUAUGGAAAUAUACUGAAGAAUGCUGCAGUUUUUUGCUGCAAGAA